rnacentral:rRNA from 1 species
GAUGAACGCUGGCGGCGUGCCUAAUACAUGCAAGUCGAGCGAACGGACGAGAAGCUUGCUUCUCUGAUGUGAGCGGCGGACGGGUGAGUAACACGUGGAUAACCUACCUAUAAGACUGGGAUAACGUCGGGAAACCGGAGCUAAUACAGGAUAAUAGGUUGAACCGCAUGGUUCAAAAGAGAAAGACGGUCUUGCUGUCACUUAUAGAUGGAUCCGCGCUGCAUUAGCUAGUUGGUAAGGUAACGGCUUACCAAGGCAACGAUGCAUAGCCGACCUGAGAGGGUGAUCGGCCACACUGGAACUGAGACACGGUCCAGACUCCUACGGGAGGCAGCAGUAGGGAAUCUUCCGCAAAGGGCGAAAGCCUGACGGAGCAACGCCGCGUGAGUGAUGAAGGUCUUCGGAUCGUAAAACUCUGUUAUUAGGGAAGAACAUAUGUGUAAGUAACUGUGCACAUCUUGACGGUACCUAAUCAGAAAGCCACGGCUAACUACGUG